AGGUUGUUUUCGUUAGCACUAUCUUCACAUGCUUACAGGAGCUUAUGUUCCUAUAAAUUCCAAAAGAUGCCUGGAUCUGUGAAGAGUACUGAAAUAUAUGUAUUUAGCCAGUCAACUCUGCCUUGGCUCAUUUGAGAAAUGGGAUUGGUCACAGUGGGGCAGACCGGGAUCACUCAAAGACUUUUAAUCAUUGAGACUGGUUUUUAUAGAUCAAAAACAACCUGGAAGUGAGCCUGGAAAAGAAGUCCUAUUUUCCUGUUCCUUUUUGGCAUGGUUCCUUCUAUCCCAUCCCUUGUUCCCUCUCACAAAUCUCCCACAAUAAGU